AUCACGAUGCGUGACAUCUUCCCAGAAGACUUCUUCAACUACUCAGUCAAGGCUCCUUGCCUGCACGAGCCUAAACUAUGUGGCACAACGCUCCUGGUCCGCAUGAGCAUAAAAGGUGACAUCAAUGCUCCUCGUCUGCACGAGCAUAAAAGGCGACACCAAGGCUUCUCGCCUACAUGAGCCUAAACUACAUGGCACAAAGCUCAUGGUCUGCACGAGCAUAAAAGGCAACACCAAACACUCCUUGCCUGCACG
rnacentral:lncRNA from 1 species